CCUACGGGAGGCAGCAGUGGGGAAUAUUGGGCAGUGGGCGCAAGCCUGACCCAGCAACGCCGCGUGAAGGAAGAAGGCUUUCGGGUUGUAAACUUCUUUUAAGGGGGAAGAGCAGAAGACGGUACCCCUUGAAUAAGCCACGGCUAACUACGUGCCAGCAGCCGCGGUAAUACGUAGGUGGCAAGCGUUGUCCGGAUUUACUGGGUGUAAAGGGCGUGCAGCCGGAGAGACAAGUCAGAUGUGAAAUCCACGGGCUCAACCCGUGAACUGCAUUUGAAACUGUUUCCCUUGAGUGUCGGAGAGGUCAUCGGAAUUCCUUGUGUAGCGGUGAAAUGCGUAGAUAUAAGGAAGUACACCAGUGGCGAAGGCGGAUUACUGGACGAUAACUGACGGUGAGGCGCGAAAGCGUGGGGAGCAAACAGGAUUAGAUACCCCAGUAGUC
rnacentral:rRNA from 1 species